GCCCGUCGCUCCUACCGAUUGGAUGACUCGGUGAAAUCACCGGAUGCUUACGAGCAGAAAGUGAUUAAAUCACGUUAUCUAGAGGAAGGAGAAGUCGUAACAAGGUAACGGUAGGUGAACCUGCCGUUGGAUCAGUUCUAGUUUUAAUAACUAACACCAACUUCUUUUAUUAAACAAAAACCAAUACAAAAUUAAAAACUAACUUCAUCAAAAACCAAGUCUCUAAGCAAUGGAUGUCUUGGCUCCUCACACGAUGAAGAACGUGGCAUAAUGUGUUAAGUAACCGGAGUUGCAAACAUCAUGACAGGUUAAUCUUUGAAUGCAAAUUGCGCUAAACUCGAUCUCGGUCGAGAAGCAUGGGUGUGACAGUACUACUUCUUUUAUA
rnacentral:rRNA from 1 species